rnacentral:tRNA from 1 species
GGUUUUGUAGUGUAAUGAACAUUUUAGAUUGCAAAUCUAAAGAUGCGGUUAAUGCUCCGUCAGAACUU